AAUCAACGCUGGCGGCGUGCCUCAGACAUGCAAGUCGAACGAUUAAAGCUCCCUUCGGGGAGUGCAUAAAGUGGCGCACGGGUGAGUAACACGUAAGUAAUCUACCCUCGGGUGGGGAAUAACAUCGGGAAACCGAUGCUAAUACCGCAUAAUGCAGCGGCACCGCAAGGUGACAGUUGUUAAAGAUUUAUUGCCUGGGGAGGAGCUUGCGGCAGAUUAGCUGUUGGUAAGGUAACGGCUUACCAAGGCUACGAUCUGUAUCCGGUCUAAGAGGACGGUCGGACACACUGACACUGAAUAACGGGUCAGACUCCUACGGGAGGCAGCAGUCGGGAAUUUUGGGCAAUGGGGGAAACCCUGACCCAGCAACGCCGCGUGAAGGAUGAAGUUAUUUCGGUAUGUAAACUUCGAAAGAAUAGGAAGAAUUAAUGACGGUACUAUUUAUAAGGUCCGGCUAACUACGUGCCAGCAGCCGCAAGU
rnacentral:rRNA from 1 species